AGCGAACGCUGGCGGCAGGCUUAACACAUGCAAGUCGAGCGGGCCCCUCGGGGUCAGCGGCGGACGGGUGAGUAACGCGUGGGAACGUGCCUUCUGGUCUGGAAUAACCCUGGGAAACUAGGGCUAAUACCGGAUACGCCCUUUUGGGGAAAGGUUUACUGCCGGAAGAUCGGCCCGCGUCUGAUUAGCUAGUUGGUGGGGUAACGGCCUACCAAGGCGACGAUCAGUAGCUGGUCUGAGAGGAUGAUCAGCCACACUGGGACUGAGACACGGCCCAGACUCCUACGGGAGGCAGCAGUGGGGAAUAUUGGACAAUGGGCGCAAGCCUGAUCCAGCCAUGCCGCGUGAGUGAUGAAGGCCUUAGGGUUGUAAAGCUCUUUUAUCCGGGACGAUAAUGACGGUACCGGAGGAAUAAGCCCCGGCUAACUUCGUG
rnacentral:rRNA from 1 species